rnacentral:rRNA from 1 species
UACGUAGGUGGCAAGCGUUGUCCGGAUUUACUGGGCGUAAAGAGCGCGCAGGCGGUCGUUCAAGUCGCGUGUGAAAGCUCCCGGCUCAACUGGGAGAGGUCAAGGGAAACUACCGGGCUAGAGUGUGGCAGAGGAAGCUGGAAUUCCCGGUGUAGCGGUGAAAUGCGUAGAGAUCGGGAGGAAUACCUAUGGCGAAAGCAGGCUUCUGGGCCAUCACUGACACUGAUCUGCGAAAGCUAGGGGAGCAAACAGG